GCCUGCAGCCACAGCACCUUGGGCUGUAAUCUUGUCAGUUUUCAUAAGCAGUGCAGGGUGAAGACUAGCCAGUACUUGGACAGGAAACCUCCAAGGAAUACCCAAGAUGCUGCAGGCA
rnacentral:rRNA from 1 species